CUGAGGACGGACAGGAAAGCUCUUUACAUUUACACCGAGUCCCAGUGGAUCAAUGUUCUGGAGGACCCCCGACACUGAGCCUGAGGAGCCUUUAACAGCAGACGCAUCAGACUGUGCAGCAUUUAUAAUAAUAAUAUGAAUAAUUUUAAUAUUAAGCAUUUUCUUGUGUUUUCUGUCUAACUGAUGAUUGGUGUGCAUGUGCAGCAUCUCGCUGCAUCAAACCGUCCUGGUUGGUAGCAGCCUGAGAUGAACCUGGACUCUGAUUUGACCCGUUUUACGUCACAAACCUUCGACGUUUCUGGACCGUGUUGCCCUGAAGAUGCUGCUGCAGUGAUCCUACACAGAGAUCAAUAAACGUCUGGUUACUGUCUCUCA